GACGAACGCUGGCGGCGUGCUUAACACAUGCAAGUCGAACGGAAAGGCCCUGCUUUUGUGGGGUGCUCGAGUGGCGAACGGGUGAGUAACACGUGAGUAACCUGCUCUUGACUUUGGGAUAACUUCAGGAAACUGGGGCUAAUACCGGAUAGGAGCUCCUGCUGCAUGGUGGGGGUUGGAAAGUUUCGGCGGUUGGGGAUGGACUCGCGGCUUAUCAGCUUGUUGGUGGGGUAGUGGCUUACCAAGGCUUUGACGGGUAGCCGGCCUGAGAGGGUGACCGGCCACAUUGGGACUGAGAUACGGCCCAGACUCCUACGGGAGGCAGCAGUGGGGAAUAUUGCACAAUGGGCGGAAGCCUGAUGCAGCAACGCCGCGGGCGGGAUGACGGCCUUCGGGUUGUAAACCGCUUCCGCCUGUGACGAAGCGUGAGUGACGGUAAUGGGUAAAGAAGCACCGGCUAACUACGUG
rnacentral:rRNA from 1 species